CAGCCGCCGCGGUAAUACGUAGGGUGCAAGCGUUAAUCGGAAUUACUGGGCGUAAAGCGUGCGCAGGCGGUUUUGUAAGUCUGUCGUGAAAUCCCCGGGCUCAACCUGGGAAUGGCGAUGGAGACUGCAAGGCUAGAAUCUGGCAGAGGGGGGUAGAAUUCCACGUGUAGCAGUGAAAUGCGUAGAUAUGUGGAGGAACACCGAUGGCGAAGGCAGCCCCCUGGGCUAAGAUUGACGCUCAUGCACGAAAGCGUGGGGAGCAAACAGGAUUAGAUACCCCUGUAGUCCCUGUCUCUUAUAC
rnacentral:rRNA from 1 species